GGGCCCCGCGCGCACCCGGGAGGGUCCGGGCAGCGGCCGGGGAACGUGUGUCCGGAGCGGCCGGGCAGGCGUGGGGAGAGAGCGGCUCCGGAGGCGGGAGCCCGAUCGGUCCCUUACCGAGCGCUGGGCACGUCCACCGGCCCGAGGCCGCCGCUGCCGCCGCCGGGGCCGGCUAGCACGUCCCCGCCGUAUUUCUCCUCCAUCCCGGGGAUCAGGAGCCGCCGCCGCUGCCCCCGCUACGGGGUCUCCUCAUGUCUCGCCGCUGCCGCGGAACACCGGGCGCAGGCGCGUCACUCCCCCAUGCCAGCGGCCCCGUCGGGUCCCCGAGACCUGCCCGCUGCCGCUGUCCCCAGCUCCGGCUCACAAGCACACGCGCGUCCGUACUAGGCCGCGGACAGUUCCGGCGCCGCCGGGUUUCCCGGAGGCUCACCGGAUCGGACGGGGCCAGGCCACGUCAUCGGGCCCAGCAGCCCUCACUCUCGUGGGAGUGCCCGGCCCUGCGCCUGCGCACAGUGCAACACUCGCCGUCCCCUCCCCUUCCUAAGGCUCUUCCUACCGCUGGGCUACGGAUGGAAUCCUCGCCCCCUAUCAGCUCCUCCCAUUGACGAGGCCUGAGCACAUACCUGUCCCUGCAGCGCCACCUAUGGGCUAUCAGGAAUACAGCGGGUUCUUCUGGAGCGGAGGUAUGCAUUUUUGGCAAGAAUAACACAGAAGUGAUUCUAUAUUCCUCUCAGUGCAUCAUAUCAGAAGGCACGUGAUGCUGACUGCUCUCAUUAACUGGCUUUGGGUCCACGCUCUUCUAUUCAAGAUAUUUGGCUACCUCUCCAGCUGUCGAAGAAGAAGAAAAGCAAGUCAGCUGUACACUCAGCUAUUACUCAAUGAGCAGGUAAAGGCUGAAGACAGAAUUCCGUGGCACCACAGACUCUGGGCUGAUACUGAUUCAUAAUUAGCAUCUGUCUUUGUGAUCUCUGGGCCACAUUCCUCCAUCUUGUUCACAAGGCAUCACAUGAAUUUCUGCAAAGGCAUUGAUGAUGGCUUUGAGGAAUAAAUAUUGCAGAUGGAUCAAAUCAAAGAAUCAAAUUUCAAAGCUGGAUUAAGAGUCGUGGAAAAAAAAGAGAAGCAGAAAUGAGGGAAAAAGAGAAGUACAAAAGUAAAAUGAGCAGUUGAUUAUUGAAAAGAAAAUCUUCUGCUGUUUGAAUAAAGACCAAAGGGCUUUCAUUGUCAGUUUCCCACAUGGCUAUGUCUUUUUUGAGCAGCACGUCCCAAGAUCAAGAAACCACAAAGAACUUAAACUUUAACUAAUUAGCAGUAGUGAAAAUUUACUAAACAUCAGCAACAAAUUUACUAGGCAAUUUCAUUUCCAAAGCAUGUUGGCAUAUAUCACAGGUAAAAUGUUUUCAGAAACAUCAUUUUUAACAUAGGAUCUUAUUUGCAGAAGCUAUUUUCAUGGCCUAGGCAACAAACGGUUCAUUGAAACAGAACUUUGCUGAUCUGGUUUCAAAGAAUUCUAUGAUAUGAAAAAUUCUGUGGAACAGAUGGGAUCAGAAGUCCCUGAACAGAGAACAGGCAUAUUUGGUAAUGAAAAUGUUCUUUUGGUAUAGCAUUAUGUUUUAUGUUCAAAAGUAUUAGUAUGCGAGGAACUCAGGCAGGAGCAGAAAAGAACAAUUAGGAAUAAUACUUUAUAGGUGAAUAGGCUUUAUGCUUCCCAAAAUACUCAGACCCCACCAAAGCCCAGUAGCAGGUACUAUCCUCCUUUUAUUGGUGAAAAACAUGCUUCUAAGAAAGAUGUAUGCCACAACUACUGAAGACCAUGCUCCUAGAGCCCGUGCUCUGCAACAAGAGAAGCCACCGCAAUGAGAAGCCCACACACCGCAACGAAGAGUAGCCCCCGCUCACCACAACUAGAGAAAGCCCGUGUGUAGCAAUGAAGACCCAA